rnacentral:rRNA from 1 species
CCUACGGGUGGCAGCAGUGGGGGAUAUUGCACAAUGGGGGAAACCCUGAUGCAGCGACGCCGCGUGGGUGAAGAAGUAUUUCGGUAUGUAAAGCCCUAUCAGCAGGGAAGAAAGAAGACGGUACCUGACUAAGAAGCCCCGGCUAACUACGUGCCAGCAGCCGCGGUAAUACGUAGGGGGCGAGCGUUAUCCGGAUUCACUGGGUGUAAAGGGAGCGUAGACGGCCGUGCAAGCGAGGAGUGAAAGCCCGGGGCCCAACCCCGGGACUGCUCUUGGAACUGUGCGGCUGGAGUGCGGGAGGGGCAGGCGGAAUUCCUGGUGUAGCGGUGAAAUGCGUAGAUAUCAGGAGGAACACCGGCGGCGAAGGCGGCCUGCUGGACCGCGACUGACGUUGAGGCUCGAAAGCGUGGGGAGCGAACAGGAUUAGAUACCCGUGUAGUC